rnacentral:lncRNA from 1 species
GCCUCAAACUUGUCGCUCCGAUCACUAUUGGAUAAUGAGAAGUUGAUGGGAUCAAAUUUUGAUAACUGAUAUCAAAAACUUAAGAUCGUCCUGAAGCACGAGUGGAUCUUGUAUGUAAUUAUAGAUCCGACACCUGAGGAGCCCGCUCCUAACACUUGUGGUGCGGUUAGAGACACUUACUUGAAGUGGCUCAAUGAUCGUACCAUGAUGCAUUGUAUUAAGCAGGCCUCC